rnacentral:rRNA from 1 species
AAGUCGAACGAAAGUUUUUAACUUUAGUAGCGAACGGGUGCGUAAUACAUGAGAAUCUGCCCUUAGGAGAAGAAUAACUGUUGGAAACGACUGCUAAAUCUUCAUAUGCCGAGAGGCGAAAUAAUUUCGAUUGCCUAAGGAUGAGCUCAUGCCUGAUUAGCUAGUUGGUAAGGUAAUUGCUUACCAAGGCCACGAUCAGUAGCUGGUUUGAGAGAACGAUCAGCCACACUGGGACUGAGACACGGCCCAGACUCCUCCGGGAGGCAGCAGUGAGGAAUUUUCCGCAAUGGGCGAAAGCCUGACGGAGCAAUACCGCGUGAGGGAUGAAGGAUUUUGGUCUGUAAACCUCUUUUCUCAAGAAAGAAGUUCUGACGGUACUUGAGGAAUAAGCAUCGGCUAACUCCGUACCUGCAGCCGCGGUAAUACGGGGGAUGCAAGCGUUAUCCGGAAUCAUUGGGCGUAAAGCGCCUGUAGGUUGUUUAAUAAGUCUGUUGUUAAAGACUAGGGCUCAACCCUAGAAAAGCAAUGGAUACUACUAGACUAGAGUAUGGCAGGGGUAGAGGGAAUUUCUAGUGUAGCGGUGAAAUGCGUAGAUAUUAGAAAGAACACCGGUGGCGAAAGCGCUCUACUGGACCAUUACUGAAUACUCAGAGGCGAAAGCUAGGGUAGCAAAAGGGGAUUAGAUACCCCCUGUAGUCCUAGCCCGUAAACGAUGGGAUACUACAUGUUUGUAUUUAUUUUACAGUAUGGUAGCUAA